UACGAAGGGGGCUAGCGUUGCUCGGAAUCACUGGGCGUAAAGGGUGCGUAGGCGGGUCUUUAAGUCAGGGGUGAAAUCCUGGAGCUCAACUCCAGAACUGCCUUGAUACUGAGGAUCUUGAGUUCGGGAGAGGUGAGUGGAACUGCGAGUGUAGAGGGUGAAAAUUCGUAGAUAUUCGCAAGACACCAGUGGCGAAGGCGGCUCACUGGCCCGAUACUGACGCUGAUGCGCGAAAGCGUGGGGAGCAAACGGG
rnacentral:rRNA from 1 species